rnacentral:lncRNA from 1 species
CAGAACUUAAAUCUUGGUUUCCCGACUUGGUGUCUUCUGGCCCGAGAAGAUUGUUUAAGUUCUCGGCCUCUCUUUGCUCAUCUGAAAAUGAGUAAUUGUCUUUCCCCGCCGUGGGUGUCCUGGGGAUUAUGUUUUUAAUAAGUGUUUCGAGGGAUAGAGUCCAGAUUCAAACAGUUCUCGGUGUGUUGCAAGUGGCCGGUGGACUUCUCGGAAAAUCACCUCUUCUUGAAAAGCUGGGAACUGAGCACACUGUCUUUGAAGGCACUGUCAAGUGUCAGGUAGGUUAGAAUGCUCCACUGCCCUAAAAAUAA